rnacentral:rRNA from 1 species
ACAGCAGCAGCCGCGGUAAUACAGAGGGUGCGAGCGUUAAUCGGAUUUACUGGGCGUAAAGCGUGCGUAGGCGGCUUCUUAAGUCGGAUGUGAAAUCCCUGAGCUUAACUUAGAAAUUGCAUUCGAUACUGGGAAGCUAGAGUAUGGGAGAGGAUGGUAGAAUUCCAGGUGUAGCGGUGAAAUGCGUAGAGAUCUGGAGGAAUACCGAUGGCGAAGGCAGCCAUCUGGCCUAAUACUGACGCUGAGGUACGAAAGCAUGGGGAGCAAACAGGAUUAGAUACCCCAGUAGUCCCUGUCUCUUAUAC